GCAAACUUGGUCAUUUAGAGGAAGUAAAAGUCGUAACAAGGUCUCCGUUGGUGAACCAGCGGAGGGAUCAUUAUAGAGUUUAAAAACUCCCAACCCAUGUGAACUUACCAGUGUUGCCUCGGCGGAGCCUACCCUGUAGCGGUCCGCCGGUGGAUUUCAAACUCUUGCUAUUUUAGUGUUAUCUGAGCGUCUUAUUUUAAAUAAGUCAAAACUUUCAACAACGGAUCUCUUGGUUCUGGCAUCGAUGAAGAACGCAGC
rnacentral:misc_RNA from 1 species